UACGAAGGGGGCUAGCGUUGCUCGGAAUCACUGGGCGUAAAGCGCACGUAGGCGGACUCUUAAGUCGGUGGUGAAAUCCUGGAGCUCAACUCCAGAACUGCCUUCGAUACUGGGAGUCUCGAGUCCGGGGAGAGGUGAGUGGAACUGCGAGUGUAGAGGUGAAAUUCGUAGAUAUUCGCAAGAACACCAGUGGCGAAGGCGGCUCACUGGCCCGGUACUGACGCUGAGGUGCGAAAGCGUGGGGAGCAAACAGG
rnacentral:rRNA from 1 species